rnacentral:rRNA from 1 species
GACGAACGCUGGCGGCGUGCUUAACACAUGCAAGUCGAACGGAAAGGCCCUGCUUUUGUGGGGUGCUCGAGUGGCGAACGGGUGAGUAACACGUGAGUAACCUGCCCUUGACUUUGGGAUAACUUCAGGAAACUGGGGCUAAUACCGGAUAGGAGCUCCUGCUGCAUGGUGGGGGUUGGAAAGUUUCGGCGGUUGGGGAUGGACUCGCGGCUUAUCAGCUUGUUGGUGGGGUAGUGGCUUACCAAGGCUUUGACGGGUAGCCGGCCUGAGAGGGUGACCGGCCACAUUGGGACUGAGAUACGGCCCAGACUCCUAAGGGAGGAAGCAGUGGGGAAGAUUGCACAAUGGGCGGAAGCCUGAUGCAGCAACGCCGCGUGCGGGAUGACGGCCUUCGGGUUGUAAACCGCUUUCGCCUGUGACGAAGCGUGAGUGACGGGAAUGGGUAAAGAAGCACCGGCUAACUACGUGC